UCCAUUUUUUUAUACGUCUGGUUCCCCUUUUGCUCUCUUCAGUUCAGACCCAUCUCGUACAUGUUGCCUCUCUAUUCGACUGUUCUCCAAAUCAUUCUCACCUCUCUCUCCCCAGAUCUGCGCUUUCUUCAUUUAUCUUCUUCUCCAUGGCUCAUUGAACUAGCUGAAAAUAUUGCAGCAACCACUAUUGUCGGAUCUGAUUUCUUUCUUCGUGGGCACGAAUAUCACUUCCACAAUUUCCAUGCUAUAAAGGAAUAGAAGGUGCACGAAAGUGUGUGGGGCAGGAGCUUGUACAACGCUUUGAUGACCAAGGACUUGAGUUUAUAUGCGCUUAUCAUCGCAAUCCAUUAGAUACAUUUUGUUGCGGAACCUCGACCAGGAGUCAAACAACGUCGUGGAGAGUGAAGAUGAACCUCAAGAUGUCGGCACUUGAGUUGCAGAAGCAGAGGACUUACAGGAAGAUGAAGACGCAGAUGUGAAGCCAUAGUCGGAGAGAAAAGCAGAAGCAGUGGGUUGAAACCUACUUGAGUCGCCAACAGGAAGUCUCAUGUAACAAUAAGAAGGUGACUCACUGAACAAUAACCCUAGGGGCUGAUGCUUUAUAUAAAUGCAUUUGCCGAUUCAAGAAAAAAAGAAGAGCAGCAACAGAACUGACACAAGCCAUGUGUUUCACAAUUGUAGAAGUUUCCAGAAAUUUUCUUCCACCUUUCAUGCUAAAAUUGUCGGCUCCAAAAUAAAAUUAUGCUUUGCUUGGCUUCUUUGAUUUCUGUUUUCUUUCUCCUUUGUCUGUUUCUUUCGAUUUUUCAUCAUUUCUUUUCAUUGUUUCUUCUUGAAAGUUGUCUUUGUUUCCAUUUUAGCUACAGGGUAAGGAAGAAAAGGAGCUGGAACAUGAAUUCAAAUUUUGAAGAGUUAAAGAUUCCUUUUUGAAUGUUCAGUGUUCCUUUCCACUGCCUUUGGAUUUUAUAUUCGAGUAGAAUAUGAAACAAGUUUUGUUUCUGUACGUAUAUAGUGUGGAGAGAUAAUGUUCUUCUCAGAUUCUUUCUGUCUAUGAUUAUUGAUCAGGCAUUUCAUUUUGGCUUGCUAUAUACAGAUGCAACAUUGUUAGAAAUGCUUUUUAGCUUGCUAUAUACAGAUACAACAUUAAUAUGGUUGGAAGAGAUUUUCUGCAUGAAAACUCUACCAUAUGCUAUACAAUUUGUAGGGUCCUAUAUAUCUUUUUCUUUUUUGUCAAAGGAAUACUUCAGUCAAACCAAAUUGCAGAAUAAUAAGCAUCCACAAAACAUGCAAAACAGAAAGGUAAGCAAACGUCGAAACAACAAAGAGAACUGGUAAGUGGUAAUUAUAAUAUACUAUAAUUUGUAAAUUGUAAUUUGUUUUUUUUGGUUGAAAGGUAAUUUGCUUCUCUCAUCAUUUAUCAAAUAGAAAAUUAAUUUAUUUACCCUAAUGAACCAAAACUAUUGUGUUAUCUUUCUAAACUUCAAACAGAGUACCAAAUUUGGAAAAGGAAGCCUACACCUUAAUAAAGUUUGACUAGUCGUGAAUGAGAGAUGCAGCAGCGGACAACCAUUAAAGGUUUUACCAGUUGCUUACCUUUAUUAUGCUGCAUCUUGUACACUGCUGUGUUGCCAGUUGUUAGCUUCAGUCCCUAUGCAGACCAAGUUUUUGGAUGAAGUCAACAUUGUUUUUUCUGAUAAGUCUGAGUUGAAGCUGAAAGCGGACACAUCAUAUAGAGAUAAUAUACCACAAUGACCAUAAACCUUUUAUAGAAAGGAAAGUUACGUUGCAGUACCAAUGAACAUUAAGCUCAUAAAAGGCUUCGAAUUAAAUUCACUUUUCAAUGUGGUAUAUAAUGAUGUAAUUUGCUGAUAGUGCCUGCUGUCCAUUAAAUUCUCUAUGCAGCCUAACUUCUUGGAUGAAGUGAUCUUUAUUUUAGUUUAACAAUGAUGGAUUGAAGCUGGAGGAAGGCACAGUUGAUACAGACUAUACAUCACAAGGAUCAUCAACUUUAGUACAAACUCAUGUUACAAUAUCAGAGAAGAUUUAUACCCAGUCUACAUCAUUGCCACUGAUACAUUUUGUUUAUUAUUUAAAUUUCUUUCAAAGAUAUUUUGAUUUUAAAUCCUUUCAAACCUAUUGACUAUUUAUAUGCACUGAAUUUUACUAAUACUUACUAACCAUGACCCUUAUUGGUGUCGAAGCUGCAAGAGUGUUGGAGUUGCUGGAACUUGGGUAGCUACCCUGGUGCUAACUUUAUUUUUUUUUUUUAAACCUUCCCUGAACUUUACAAAACUUUACUCAUAUUUCUUUUUUAAUUUAAGAAUAGCAUUAACUUCUCUUAAGGAUUGACAGUUUGUCUACACCUUAACAAAGUUUGACUUGUCGAUUUUACUCCAAAAAAAAAAAAAGGGUUCACCUGUCCAAAAAAGAGAUGCUGCAACUGGCAACCAUGAAAAGCUUUAUAAGUAGCGUACUUUUUAUUAUGCUACAUCUUGUAUAUACAUUGCUGUGUUGCCAGCUGGCAGCUUUAGUCCCUAUGCAGACCAAGUUUUUGCAUAAAGUCAACAUUGUUUUUUUAAAAUAAUUUUGAGUUUUUUUUUUUGUCAAAAUAAUUUUGAGUUGAAGCUGAAAGAUAACACAUCAUAUAGAGAUAAUAUAAAGAUAAAGACGAGAGAAACGGAAUGCUGAAAGAGGACACAUCAUCAGGAGUACAUCAAGACUUUGGGAUAAAGAGGUAAAGACGAGAGCAAAAGGGAAAAGCAACAAAAUUCUGAAAGGAGGGUAAAACCAUUUCCCUCCCGUCAAAAAUACUCCCUCCAUUCUGCAAUAUUAGAUGCUUUUAGAAGAGAAUUUUGGUCCACAAUAUAAAUCACCAAGAGAUGAUGACUCUACAUUUUACAUUUAAGUUCCCAAAAUACCCUUAGUGCUAUAACGUUUCUAACCCACCUGUCUUUCUCGAUUCAAGUCUGGCUUAUCUUUCUCUCUCUUCAAAUUGUGCUUUGUUGUUUACCAUCUUCAAUCUCUACCAUUGAUCACGUUUGGCAUUCUUCUUAUUAGCUCUCACCUCAUUAGUGAUCGCCUCUCGUUUCUCACUUUCCUCUUCCAUCGUGGUUCACCUCAGACUCGCUGUUAAAGGUGUGGUUUGAAAUCUCAGUGGAUCUUCGCCAUUCAAGCUCAACAAAAAAGGGCUUUGAAGAUAUGUCAGGGAUGAGCUAAUGGGCUGUAUAGUCGACAUUUCUCUUGAUGAGGAAGAAGAUAUACCCCUAGUCAACUUCUCUGGGGAGGUGAUGUCCCUGAAUCAAAAGAUUUUGUGGGCAUCUCUUCCCAAGGAUUCUUCGCUUGGGUCUUCCAAUUUUGUCGAGGUUGAGGUGGUGCAAUAAAAGCAAGUCUAGUCCUUUGAUUUGAAUGAAGAGGCAACGAAGGAUGGUGAAGAAGUGAGUAGCGAUAAUGGCAACAACAAUGGCACAUCUGACUAAGGAAGAGAAAGAAAAAAGAGGAAGAUUGUCCACCCAUUCAACCUAAACAAAUUUCCAGUUCCAGAGGAAGAUUGUGUGCAUCUAACCAAGGAAGAGAAAGCCCAUAAGUAAUUUGCAUACGACACUUUGCAUUAUAUGUUUUGAUUAGUGUUGAAUUUAUGAGCCUUCUAUAGUUCUGUGUAAUUUUAAUUAUUCUAGACUUUAAGCUUAUUUUGGUCAAUGAUGGAUGUUAAGCUUAUUUGAUACAUGAUAGUUUAGUUUAUUUUGGUUAUGCUAAAGUUACAUGUCGAUGAUCUUCUUUUCUGGUUAGUCUGAUGGAUGAAUGUAUUGACAUUUUAGCCACUUCUACAUCUCUAUUGUGUUAGAAUGAUGGAUGAUGAUAUUUAAACUAAUGACAAAUGUUUUGAAUUAGCGAGCUUUCUAUUU